GUGGCAUUCAUUCGGACAUUUCAUUAGUACAGCAAACCACAUUACAUCAUAAACUAUUACUUUUUUAAUUCGUGCCAUACAUAACCAUGAUUUGUUUUACCUCAACAAUACAUGACGUACACGUACGUAAUUUAACGAUGACUAUGGGGAGUCAGUUUCUACAUCAAAAUGCAUCUAAAUAGAUAGUUCUGUUAUUUAUGCUUAACAGUAAAUUUUCAAAACACUAUCGAAAACAAAAUCAGUCUACAUGUAUAUUUACUUGUUU
rnacentral:lncRNA from 1 species